rnacentral:lncRNA from 1 species
AUUUUUAAUUAAUUUUAUUUAUUUUAUAUUUUAUAUUUUAUCUUUAUCAUUAAUUAUCUUAAUCCUAGACCGUGAACUUCGGCAAGCUGUGAUCCUCAAUCUGUCCUUCCGACUUGUUGUGAAAUAUCUAUCGCUAGUAUCUCUGCAAGCCCUUUCGAAUGCUCAAGAAGUUUCAGAUCAACCCCGCUUACAGAUUGUGAGGCUAUGCUGCAAUCUGCACCGAUGUCCCUUGGCCGCUCGUCGAUAUUCCUCUUAUCCCUGUCGGUAGGCCCCUAGUUAUCAUAGAAAUCCUAAAUAACUCCCAAUUUGCCAACUCUCAAUACCUCUUUAAACUGUUGGUAGAUAUCCUCUAUCCGUACAGUCAGAUUAGCACAACCACGUAUGCAUUCAGCAAAAUCAACCUUCUAGACAACUCUGGAUUUCAACCAUAGAAGUAUCUCCCAUUCCAUCAACAAUCAAGAGUACUAGCCUUCCCUUUCUUACAGAAAAUCGAGUUCACCAAUAUAACACUAACUUUCAGCAACUCCCUUUCUCAGUC